GUCUCUCACACAAUCGGUUUUCACCCUGGUCUGAGAGUGAACUAUGUCUGAGAUCAUCGUGAAAGCUAGUUGUGGUUGGACU
rnacentral:pre_miRNA from 1 species